AGGUCCCCUUUCGCUUUCGUUUCUGCCCUUCACGUGGAUAUUGCUGCUCCUCGCUUCCCCUUUUUGUUUCCUGCACGGAGGAAUUCAGGGUUGGCUGGCGUGAACGCCCCAGCAAGCCCUGACUCCCCGACUGACUGCCGCAAAGUUAGUUUUGGCAUUUUUGAAGCAGACUUGCUAACUGCCCCUAUCUCUAGCCACCGUUAUCGCCCCACGGAGCACAGAGCUGGUAUAAGGAGAUGAGGAGAGUAGCGAGAUGAUUCUUUGGGACACAUCCGAAUGUUCCCUACAAGAGGAAGGCCCAUGUCCACAGGCUUUGUGUAUUCAUCCUCACCAGGAACAAAAGCUAGCUCAUGUUAGCUAACGCACAGUAAAUUCUUAGUGAAGACAAGGCAAUGUGUCAUUUUAACACAAGUUUGCAGGACAUGAAUUCAGAACACAAAUUUUUGCUGAGUGAAAACAAGGCAUAAGAGGUCCAAAAGCCAGUUCUGGACACAAGGGGUAUGUCUACAUUGCAAUGUAAACCCCAUGUUAGUGGGACUUGAGUCAUCUGACCUUGGGUUAGAGAACCCAGGGUUUAAGCAUCUACACUGGUUGUUAAUUCUAGGUUAAAAAAUUUCUAAUCCAGGCUUGAAUGUAGAGCUCUGGCAUCCACACUGCUGCAUGCAGACCCAAGUCAAACCAACCAUAUCCCAGACUCCCUAGUGCCAUCCUGAGAUGUGGCUGGAGUAGCCCUUUGACCAUGGUGCAGUGUGGGAAAACUUGACCUUCCAUCCUGCAUGCUACAGGAAGUUUGAAUAGCUGCCAACACAUCCUGCCAAGCUGUUAUUUUGGUUUGUGUGUUCCCAGCUACCAGCACCAGCAACAUGAAAGAGGCGGCUUUUAAAUAACUUAUUUUGCGUGUGCUUUCACUCCUGUGUCAAGAAAAAGGCAGAGCUUCCAUGAGAUGCUGGUUGACAUUUCAGCCGCGUAUUCUGAACUAUCAAAAGCACCUGACAGAGCUAAUGAUGGAGCAAGAGGAGGAAGAUGCAGAUGUGACAGACUCAAACUGGCUGAUAGUGCUUAUGACGCUUGCUUGGUACAGCUGAUGCCCCCCAAGUAGACUUGUGCUUCUGGAGCAGGGCCAUGAGCACAGACCUGGUGGGACCAGUUAACAUUAUCGUGCAAACCUGAGAUGACCAGCAGUGGGUCCAGAACUUUUGCAUGAAAAAAGCUACAUCUCUAGAGCUCUGUGAGUAGCUUGCCGCAAGCCUCCAGCGUAAAGACAAAAGUGUGAGGGUGACCAUUGUGAUCUAGAAGCAGGUUGCUAUACUGUCUGGAAGCUGGCUACCCCAGGCUGCUGCAGAUUGAAAUCCUGUGGAGAUGUCUACAGACCCAUUUGGAUUCCAGUGUCAUCAAUGCUGUCCGGCUUGCUGUACUCUUCACAAUCUUUGUGAAGCCAGAGGUGAGCCCCUUUCUGCUGAAUGGACCCAUGACCACGAGGGGCCACUGAAUUGGUACACUCAGUCAGAAAGUCCACCUAGCACAGCUGGAGCUAGAUGCACCUGGGCAAUAGAAGUCAGGGAUGCUUUGUGCUCCCACAUUAUGGUCUUGCAUGGCCUAAUAGAAGUGCGGGAAAUAGUAUCUUUAUGAAUGUGUUUGUGCGAGAUGGAGAUGGGCUUAUUGUAGUGGGUUUCAAUACUUGGGGAGGUGGGUGUUGAUUGUCAUGCAGUGUACUUAUAAAUGCCAAGACCACUUCUGAAAAGGGUGGAUGGUGUGAAUCAUAGUAUAGAUUGAUGUAGAUCAGCAGUUCUCAAACUAUGGGGCGGGCCUGCCAAGGGAGAUGUGGGAAUUUGACAAAUAUCACUUUCCACAUUGCCAACCUUCCUUCUGUGCUUCUGCUGGCACGGUGCUGCCUUCAGAGCUGGGUGCUCAGCUGGCAGCCACUACUCUCCACUUUGCCUUUGCAGCUGGGUGGCAGUAUAUGUACUUGGGGAGCGUGUAAAUGAUUACAGAUACAAGGAAGAGGGGCCUGAUCAAAUAAGUUUGAGAACCACUGAUGUAGAUAAACAUAUUGAGAAACAGUGUUUGCAUACUAAUUCCUAAUUGUCCCUGACCAUGUGUUCACCUUUAUUAUUUUAAAUACAGAUUGUAUGACGUGAUACAGUGAUAAACUUUCUUGAUUAAUUAAAAAAAAGUUUAUUUAUAAAUAUGUAUUAGAAAAAUACAACAUUCAACCAGUGCCAGGCAAGCCAGCUGACAUUACCACACUAAAAACACCAGUAACAACAGUACCUUAAAAAAAACAAAACAGAAAAACAAAGUGCAUGAAUAAAUGCAAACAGUGAAAACAGGUACAAGACAGAAACACCCUACCAUUGCAUGUCCCCUGCCCCCAUUCUUUUUUCCUUUCUUUUCCCAUUUGCUGUGCCCUUCGUGCCCAGGUUGGGGUGGAGGCAUCCCUAGGAGAGUGGGUCAAUAUGGAGGGUGGCAUGGGGUAAAGUUGCUCUGCCCAGCCACUCCUGGGGUUUGAUUGCAUGGGCAACCCAGCCAUGGAGUUUUCCAAGCUGUUUCUGGACUGCAUCACAUCCUACCACACAGGAGACUUGGAUGAUGCAGCAGGAGCUGACGCUCUUGCAGCCAUUAGUGAUAUCAGCCGCACAAACAGCUCUUUCUGCUGAGCGCUGAGCUCCUCCCUUAACUGCCAUUCCUGUUCCAGGAGCUGUGAAUCGAGUGCCUGCUCCCGCGCUGAAACCCCAUCCUCAAGGUGUGCAACCAGCCUGAGUCUUUCCUCUUGUCUCUCCUCUAGCCGCAAGUACCUUUCUCUUUGGUACUGGACCAGCUUGUCGGCCCUGUCCAGAACUUCAACUAUAAGUUCAUCAUGGAAAUUCUUCCUCUUGGAACGGUCCGUGAAGGUAAGUUGGGCCAGGCUUCCGCUGCAGUGUGGGUGAGCUGUGGAAGUACUGCAGCCAGUACAGGUCGAGGGGCCUGGAACAGGACAAGACACAGAGGGCUAUUAUCUCAACUAGCUCAGUGCAGGAGCAUAGAGAAAAUCCGUGUGGAAUGUCAAGGACAAAAUGUUACUUUUCCAAAUUGAACUUCAGUAUAUUGUGAGAAAAUAACAUUUGCUUUAUAGUUUGUGGUUAGUAGGGAAAAGGCUCCAACCAGCAAGUAAAAAAAAGCCCUUAGAAUAAUAAGUCGUAUUAUAAGUAUAAGUAUUAUAAGUAGUGGGGAAGGACAUAUGUAGGAUGUAACUAAUAAAAUAAAGAGAUGCAGUAACAAGACAAAGAAAAACUGCCUUAAAAGAAACAGGUCCAAACCUUUCCACUUGUUCUGCUGGGAAGCGGUGGGGGCUGGGGUGGGGGGAGAAGAGAAGAUCAGAGAGGAAGGAAAGUAGCAAGAAUAAACUGCUUCAAACUGGGUUUUUGCUAAAGUUAAAUGAAGGGUAGAAAGAGAGCCAUAAAUCUGAAUGUUCUUCAUCAGACCCUUCCUGAUCAUGCUAGAGUAUACCAGAAUGAGACGGUCAGCCUAGAUCUAGCCCAUUUGUACAUAUAUUGAUCGCAUGCUUAUGAAUUCUUUGUUACUGUAUUGUCUGUAGUGACUGCUUAUUUUUAGGCUGUUAGACAUGUUUAGAGUUAUUGCCUAAUGUACCAUUUGGCCUUUGGAUUGAAUAAAGGAAUUUAUGGUUAAACUGGUGUUGUGUGAUUUCCCAUAUUAAUAAUUUUCAGUAUUAGUUCCAACAUGUGUUAUAGAUACUAACGGGUUGAGGGACCUGGUUACAACACAGGAAUACUCUGGUAUAAUUGAACCACAGUUGCUUUCCCCAGCAUUUUAAAAACUGCCAUUCAGUGUUGUAAAGCUGGCAUCCUCAGUCCUACAAUGAUAUGGCAAUGGUGGUGUCAUCACCAUGGUAACUCUACAUUGCAUUUUGUACAUCAUUGUUUGGAGGAAGGCUGGUAAUAGGGCUAAACUGUUAGAAGUUUAUUCAGAGGUUGUUGGCUUGAGGCCACAAAUGUUGAGUUUGGCUAUGAACUCCGAGGGGGGAUAUUCAGAGGAGGAGUACUGGAUAUUGCCGUUACUCACAACUGCAGAAACCCAGUCAGGUGAAAGCACUUUGUACAAGGCCUGGUUUGAAAGCCCAAGGACUGACUAAUGGCUAAAAAAUCCAAAAUACUGAAAACCACAAACCUCUCUAUUAAAUCUAGACAGACUGUUUCGAUAAGGUUUGCAUAUUUUGCUUAUCUGAAAUUUGUAUCUAUCAAAUCUAGACCUGUUCUAUUAUGCCUAUGAUAGUAUUUAAGCACUGGCUGGGUGAGGGGAAUUUGAACUGUGUGUAUUGCACUAGAUUUUUCAGCUGCUCCCUGCUUUCUGAGUGCAGUUGAGACAAAGUACAAAGGAACCAGUUACAGCUGCAUGGAUCCUGGGGCUGGCUUGAUGCCAAUCUUGGCCCUUUUUAAAAUUAGAGCAACAUAGGAACUGCUCUAAAGUACUCAAAAUGGUAGCAACCCCAAGAGGUUGUCCACCAUCUGGGGACUGCUAGACUACAGUGUGCUGAGG